CGAUGAAGUGGAGGGACGUGGAG
rnacentral:miRNA from 1 species